rnacentral:lncRNA from 1 species
UUCACCCUAACCACCCAUCAAAUUUGAUGGGCGGUUAAGAACUUAGGAGCACAAGGACUGCUGUGCUCCUAAUAGCACAGUAGCCCUACUCUAUAUAUAUAUAUAUUAGGAGUUGAGCUAGAAUACUAUCGAUAGUAAACCGGCACUUUUGCCACCCAUUUGUUUUCGAUGAUGGAGCCUCCAAAUUGAUGAUCGGCACCGUUGAACAUGAUUUAUACCAUUUGAAGUAUUUAGAAAUUAAAUUUCAUACAUUUUUGAUAUUGCUCUCUUAUCCAUCGAGUGGACACAAAAAUGAACGGCUGAAAAUAAAUAUUCUUUAAAAAAUGAUGAUAGAAGUCUUGUAAUCAAGAUCAAGAGUAUAGAUCUUGUUGUAAAUAGUUUAAAGAAUUUUCUAACAAAAAUUCAAUUGAUUUGGAUAUCUUUACACCGUUAAACGAGAAAACGUCUCAUAUCGACCAUUAAAAUUACAAAUUUUGAAACCCUUUGAUCAUUAGGCAAAUAAUGUCGAAAAGAUUUGAAAUUUGAUUUCUAAAUACUUCAAGUAGGAUAGAUCAUGUUCAACGGUGCGGAUCGUCGAUUUGGAGGCUCCAUCAUCGAAAACAAAUGGGUGGCAAAAAUGCCGGUUUGCUAUCGAUAGCAUUCUAGCUCAACUCUAUAUAUUAGUAUGUAUUAUUAUUCAAAUAAUAUUCGAAUACAAAUCCGACUCAUAUCUGAAUCCAAAUCCAUUUUAAGCGAAUAUAAUAAUUAAAAUUUAGCAUCCAUCAUAUAUCCGCAUU